AUGCCGUGCAUCCCGGCGUCCAGCCCCAGCAUCCAGCACCACAACCACAACCACCACCACCGAGUCCUAGCGGGCGUUGGCGUCGGCAUGGGGUGCGGCGCGGAGGCGGUCGUGGCCGCGGCCGGGACGGCAGGGAUGAGGUGCAGGGAGCACGACUGCGAGGUCCCGGCGGAGGUGGCGCGGCACCACGAGCACGCGGAGCCGGGGUCCGGCCAGUGCUGCUCCGCGGUGGUGCAGCACGUGGCGGCGCCCGCGGCGGCGGUGUGGUCCGUGGUGCGCCGGUUCGACCAGCCGCAGGCGUACAAGCGGUUCGUGCGCAGCUGCGCCCUGGUGGCCGGCGACGGCGGCGUGGGCACGCUCCGCGAGGUGCACGUCGUGUCGGGCCUCCCCGCGGCGUCCAGCCGCGAGCGGCUCGAGAUCCUGGACGACGAGAGCCACGUGCUCAGUUUCCGCGUCGUCGGUGGCGAGCACCGGCUCAAGAACUACCUCUCCGUCACCACCGUCCACCCGUCCCCAGCCGCGCCGUCCAGCGCCACCGUCGUCGUGGAGUCCUACGUCGUGGACGUGCCGGCGGGCAACACGAUCGAGGACACCCGCGUGUUCAUCGACACCAUCGUCAAGUGCAACCUCCAGUCGCUGGCCAAGACCGCCGAGAAGGUCGCCGCCGUGUCGUGA
rnacentral:rRNA from 1 species